AUGGCUGACCAAGGAAUAUCAACUCCCAGUGUAAUAGGACUAGUCACUAUAUUCUGUUGCAUUUAUGGCGGACAAUUCGUCAAUGCAGCUGGACCGUCCACCACCCGUUAUGUCAUCACAAACGGCAAUGUCAUUCUCAACCCUGGGAUCCCUGGUGGAGUUUUACAGGAGAUCCUCUGGAAACAUGGUGUAAACAAGGCGGUGGAAUGGAGCACUGACAGGAUACAGGAAUUUCGUGAUUUUAAAGGGAGGACAUCCUUGAACACCACGACUGGAGAAAUCACAAUCAGACAGCUGACCAUGCAGCUCAGUGGGGUGUAUGAGGCAGAGUGUGUGAUUGGUAAAAAAAUACAGACCUUUCAGCAGAGAGUGGAAGUCAUUGGUGAGUCAGGGUUUCCUAAAGGAUGAAUCAUGUCCCACCUUUGGGUCAUAAAGUCACUUGGUUGGCAACCACUGGCUUGUUGUAAUAUGAUAUAAGUACUGUUGAAGAGCUGCUCACUUUUGAAAUUCGUUUUGUUUCUGGUUGUGUAUCUAUUGCAUUUCUCAAACAUAAACUAAACUAACCAGCCAUACAGGUUAGUGGAGAGAGAGAGAGGAAAUAAUGUAAACAUUUCCAUGAUUGUGCAAGACUUUCAGUCCAACAGUUGUUACUAAGCUAACAGCAAAAAACCUGGGAACACAAGCACAUUGUGAAGAGAGAGAGCUGUUUACAGUGUGUGUACAGUGUGUGUGCAGUGUGUGUACAGUGUGUGUAUAUACAGAGUGUGUGCAGUGUGUGUGUACAGUGUGCCCAGUGUGUGUGUACAGUGUGUGUGCAGAGUGUGUACAGUGUGUGCGCAGUGUGUGUGUACAGUGUGUGUGCAGUGUGUGUACAGUGUGUGUGCAGUGUGUAUAUACAGUGUGUGUACUGUGUGUGCAGUAUGUGUGUAGUGUGUGUCACCAAGUGUCCUCUGGCUGAUGUACUCCUCCAUCAAUGACAUAAUGUCAACGUUCAAACUUCUAUGAUUGACAUUUAGUAUCACCAGCCAGCCAACAGUCAUUACUAAACUAACAGAGAGAACAUUUUACAACACAAACACAUUGUAAAGAAUAAGUGUGUAUGUGUGUGAAAUAUUCCUUACUUUCCCUCCACUUUUGCAUAACAUACUCCUCCAUUUCCAUCCACAGACCCAGUAUCACAACCUGACGGUCACCUGUGAAUUGAACGGUACCGUGGCAACAAUUCACUGCAGUGCUGAGGGUCCACUGUUAGAAUACCGCUGGUCUUGGCCUGACCACCAGGGGGAGAUGUGGAGCCAGGAGCAGACUGGACAGCACUACAACAUCACAUCCCCAGAGUCAGUCAGCUACACCUGUGAGGCCAGGAACCCAGUCAGUAAGAAGACACAGACAUACAACAGCAUCGACUGCCUGGCCACAGGUAAACAAGAGAGAUAGGCGAGAUAUAGAGGGCUUGGGUUUUGUAAAGAGAAGACCAUUCUGUUGGUAUACUCAGUCAAGGUUAAAUCAUCUUAAAGUAUUUUAAUGCUGUUGAUAAAGGAAUAGGAAUUCCUUUGUUGAGUUUCCACUGACCAUGUGACCUGACCUGUGUGUGUCUGUAUGUGUGUGUGUCAGGUAAUCCUGUGAUCUACAUCUACACUGGUAUUGGUGCAGGUGUCUUGUUGUUGGUCGCUGUUGUGGUCUGGCUCGUCAAGAAGCGUUCCAAAGGUAAGCCCAUGUCUUUCAAUAAGGACAGUAAUACCUUAUAACAGGGUUCUUUGUUAUGAAUCUCCUUGACGUUGUAUUGACAUUGUGUUGAUUCAUUGUGUUCGGUUUAG
rnacentral:lncRNA from 13 species